GAAAGCCUAAGGUUUCCUGAGCAACGCUCGUCGACUCAGGGUAAGUCGGGACCUAAGCCGAGGCGGAAAAGCGUAGGCGAUGGACAACAGGUUGAAAUUCCUGUACUAUCCUGUAACAGAACUGUGGGGACGCAGAAAGAGAGCGUGAGCCGGGAAUGGAAAGACCGGUGCAAGCGAGGUAGGAGUCACAUAGGCAAAUCCGUGUGGCAAUCCGAAGACGUGAUGC
rnacentral:rRNA from 1 species